rnacentral:rRNA from 1 species
GAUCAUGGCUCAGGAUGAACGCUGGCGGCGUGCUUAACACAUGCAAGUCGAACGAAGCACUUUGGACAGAUUCUUCGGAUGAAGUCCUUAGUGACUGAGUGGCGGACGGGUGAGUAACGCGUGGGUAACCUGCCUCACACAGGGGGAUAACAGUUGGAAACGACCGCUAAUACCGCAUAACCCGCUAGGGCCGCAUGGCCCGGACGGAAAAGAUUUAUCGGUGUGAGAUGGACCCGCGUUGGAUUAG